ACUUCUCCAGCAUCAUGGUUUUAAGCCUGUGUCCUUUGCUGAUCCAGUGGAGAAUAAAAACCUUUCAGAUUUGGUUCUGCUGGACAAAAAGUCAGCGAGUGAGAUCAGGGCCACUCUGAGCACCAUGCUCAAAGACUCAGAGAGGAGGCAGGCUCUCAUCCAGCAGCUUGUGAAGUCCAACAACCAACUCAAAGAGGACGUUCAGAAACACAUGAGUCGAGCUGCUCACCACUCUCAGCGGGUCACAGACCUAGAGGCGCUGAUGGACCAGGUGAAGGCCAAAGUCCAGGAUAUGGAGGACCGCUUUCUUAGUGUAACUGUCCAACAUCACAG